UCCGACGAAUAUCCGGAAUGAUUGGGCGUAAAGCGUCCGCAGGUGGCAGUUCAAGUCUGCUGUCAAAGACCGGGGCUCUUCGAACCUCGGAAAGGCAGUGGAAACUGAACAGCCUACUAGAGUAUGGUAGGGGCAAAGGGAAUUCCUGGUGUAGCGGUGAAAUGCGUAGAGAUCAGGAAGAACAUCGGUGGCGAAUUAGCGGGCGCUUUGCUGGCCGGACCAUAACUGACACUCAGAACG
rnacentral:rRNA from 1 species